AUGGGCGCAAGCCUGAUGCAGCCAUGCCGCGUGUAUGAAGAAGGCCUUCGGGUUGUAAAGUACUUUCAGCAGUGAGGAAGGCGGUGUCGUUAAUAGCGGCCUCGCUUGACGUUAGCUGCAGAAGAAGCACCGGCUAACUCCGUGCCAGCAGCCGCGGUAAUACGGAGGGUGCGAGCGUUAAUCGGAAUUACUGGGCGUAAAGCGCAUGCAGGUGGUUUGUUAAGUCAGAUGUGAAAGCCCGGGGCUCAACCUCGGAAUUGCAUUUGAAACUGGCAGACUAGAGUACUGUAGAGGGGGGUAGAAUUUCAGGUGUAGCGGUGAAAUGCGUAGAGAUCUGAAGGAAUACCGGUGGCGAAGGCGGCCCCCUGGACAGACACUG
rnacentral:rRNA from 1 species